rnacentral:rRNA from 1 species
UAGGGAAUCUUCGGCAAUGGACGAAAGUCUGACCGAGCAACGCCGCGUGAGUGAAGAAGGUUUUCGGAUCGUAAAACUCUGCUGUUAGAGAAGAACAAGGACGUCAGUAACUGAACGUCCCCUGACGGUAUCUAACCAGAAAGCCACGGCUAACUACGUGCCAGCAGCCGCGGUAAUACGUAGGUGGCAAGCGUUGUCCGGAUUUAUUGGGCGUAAAGCGAGCGCAGGCGGUUUCUUAAGUCUGAUGUGAAAGCCCCCGGCUCAACCGGGGAGGGUCAGUGGAAACUGGGAGACUUGAGUGCAGAAGAGGAGAGUGAAAUUCCAUGUGGAGCGGUGAAAUGCGUAGAUAUAUGGAGGAACACCAGUGGCGAAGGCGGCUCUCUGGUCUGUAACUGACGCUGAGGCUCGAAAGCGUGGGGAGCAAACAGG